GAUAAUGCAGUAAUGCAUCUUACUAUAGAUUUCCUAAAAAUUGUGUGACUAUAUUUAUAUAUAUAGUGCUGUAGUGAUAGUCACUUGCUACUAAAAACACAUUACCAUGAGAUAUCUAGAGAUGAUGUAAAAGAUAUUUGCGGUUAUCUCUUAGGACAGUACGGCACACUUCACAGAUCAAGUUAUAAUCGGAACUAGUGAUUUUGGAUAAUUAAACCAACAAAAAGCGAAAGGAUUCCACCACCUAAGUAUGCAUCAACUACGAGAUAUCAACAAGACAAACCCAAAAAUCUUGUCCCGUCGUCAGCGCCAGGCCCCUCAUCUUCUCCACCGAAAAGGGAGCGAAUAAUUCGACGAACUUCGCCAUUGAAGGAUUAUAAUUCUCAUGACAACACUAUUAAAUUAAUGAAAAUGCCACAAGAGGGUGACAGAAAAGAUUUGAGUGUUUGGGAAGAUUGGUUGAUCAAAAAGUUACAACAGGAGAGAGAAGACUAAAAUACAGAGACAAGUUGAAAAAGAAGUAAAAGAAAGAGAGGAAAGAAAAAGAAUGGAAAAGGAAGAUUUAAAGAAAGAGCUGAAUUAAAACAUCAGCAGUUGGUGUGAAGAAAAGUUAUUGAAGAUGAAGUUACAGACGAAAAUUGACAAGCGUGAACAAAUGUUUGAAGAAGAAAUGAAAGUUCAAGAAAAACGAGAAAUUGAGAGAAAAUCGAAACAAGCGUACGAGAGAUGGGUGG